AUGGCUCUUACUGAAGACUAGCAGUUAUACCAUAGCUGUUGGUUUCAAGCAGAUGCCUAAAGAACUCUCUUCCUAUGGAGUAUCAACUGUUCUGGAACCUCAGUAGAGAACAAUUAUUUCAUUUGGAAGAAACAACC
ensembl:snoRNA